AACGCUGGCGGCAGGCCUAACACAUGCAAGUCGAACGGUAACAGGAAGCAGCUUGCUGCUUCGCUGACGAGUGGCGGACGGGUGAGUAAUGUCUGGGAAACUGCCUGAUGGAGGGGGAUAACUACUGGAAACGGUAGCUAAUACCGCAUAACGUCGCAAGACCAAAGAGGGGGACCUUCGGGCCUCUUGCCAUCGGAUGUGCCCAGAUGGGAUUAGCUAGUAGGUGGGGUAACGGCUCACCUAGGCGACGAUCCCUAGCUGGUCUGAGAGGAUGACCAGCCACACUGGAA
rnacentral:rRNA from 1 species